GUUUAUAGCAUUUAUUUUUCACUAUUUUGUAUGUGAGUUUUUGCAUUUUUUCAAACUAUAGGGACUACUAAUGUAACUUACUCUAGACUUUGUUGACAAACCCCACCUCAUACAGGUCCUAAUCCGAAUUCCGACAUGCCGAUGACGGUGCGAGGACUUAAAAAGAGAUUCAGAAAGCGGCUAAUGCAAAUUGUGUCGCACUCGAUAUCCCCUAACUGUUAGACUAGUUGUUUUGUUCGAUUAAAAAGAUUCGAUGCAGAAACUAAUUUCAUCGUCGUCACUGGAGGAAGUCAAGGCGAUGGAAACUCCGGUAUCAUAGCUCAUGCUCAUCAUUUGUGGGUAGAUGAGAAACAAAGUGAUGUCUUAGAUCCAUCCCUUGUCAACGAUCAUCCAGCACUCAGCAUGCUGAAGGCAGAAAAGGAGAAACUAUUGACAGAUGAUAUAAAUCAAGGGGUUAAUUUGUUGAGUGUAGCAGAGAUGGACUACAUGGAGAAGAUAAAGGAGUUUCAUGAGAGACUUGAUAUGGUGAAGAAGAUAGUUAAACCGGGUUGUUCUCAUGAGGUAUUGAACAUAGCCUUGUGUAGUUUGUCAUCACUUGCCAGAAUUCUGUCCCAGAUGCCACAAAAACUUCAUGCGUCACUUUGAACAAAGAUGCUUUUCUUCUUAGAAUUUUCAAUGGAUGUUGUAUGUUGAAUGUAAAACUACUUUUGCAACAGAAAGUGCAAUGUGUCUUUAGAGGGCGUGAUUGUAUUCCUUUGAUUUUGUAGUUUAUUUUCAUAACAAUAUUGAUAAAGAUAUUGAGCUUUAGAGAAGUAAAACAUAAAUGUUAAAUAA